GAAAUCUUAGUUAUGGAUAUAAUGUAGUAGGACCGCUGGAAGCUACGGCGAAAGGGGGGGAGACAUUUCUGUUUAUAACAUUGGUCGAAUAAUGUAGCUAUUUCAUCGCUACAAUUAGGCUAUAGAACGUAGCCUACUAAGCGAAGCAAGCCCGAUGAGUUAUUCCAGGUGAGUUUUCGGGGAAAGUAUCGCUGUGGCCGCUCACCUCCUGGCAAGGCUACACGGGGGUCCUCCUCCCGGGGACAUCUCAGUCUAGUAUCCGCUCUACCUACCUCUGUCCCCGAAGGAUGGCCACAAAACCCAGCGUACCCGGUCUGACAAGGAAAGAUCGUUUCUUCUCAUCAACGGUGUGUGUUUGGCUGCAGUGACCUGUGAGGGUGUUGCCAGUGACAGAGCAAGGAUCAACUCCUGCCUUCAGCCUGUCUUUGUCUGAGUGGGAGGAGUCAGGGUUCAAAGGUUGUGACUCUGAGGACCCGCGGGCUGUAUUUCCAUAUGAGGCCCUGCUGAGGGGGCUGAGGACCAAACGAGGCAUUACUACAUGCUCCUCCUGCU
ensembl:lncRNA